GGGCAUCAUGAAAACCUGACCCGACCCGAUCCAUUGGCACCCCUAACCCAGAACCGUAGAUUUUACUAAAACUAGCAGUUACGGUGACUCCCAGGCCCGAUUCACCCGCACCUCCUCCAGUUACGGCGAAGUUUGCAAUUUGCGUCCACUUGCAAACGGUUUGCAUUCGGGGAUCUGCUUCGUGUCAAGACCUGAUGUGUUUAAUGAUAAUGACCCGAUUUGUUGUGUUGGCGUUUGCUGUCUGUUGGCACCAGGUUUCAUACCCUUUCAGAAAGCCAGAGGUUUCGGAUAUACUAUUAUUAUUCCAGGCACCGCCAAUAUUGCAGAUUUCUUUUAAUGCAAGUUGGCUUCAGUUCAGCCGAUGUAUUGAACAGUGUGUUAGUAUUUAGUUGUGCGAAGCCUUGUUGACAAGAGCAAAUGAUGGUAUAGCAAUGAACAUCAGGAUGAUACUAGGAAAUAUGGUCCGAAGAAUCUCGAUAGUAGUUCCACGAACAAUCCUUUGCGGGAUUGGAUUUUUCUGAUAGUGGAAAUGCCAUAAAACGCGAACCAAGAUCCGUAAUUUUGUGGCAAAGGCUGGGGACUACGUUGAAGUUCGCGAUGGUAAACUAUUGGUGAACAGUGCUGCUCAAGAUGAAGAUUUCCAUAUUAGAGCCACUUUCUUAUGAGAUGGAACCAUUGGCGAUGCUAAUUUGAAUUCGUGCCAACUUAAUUUGCUAAUAGCAUCACACAGCCGACAUUUUGAUCAAGCUUUCUGACCGUUUCAAUUGCAGCUUAUUCCUGAAGGAUAUGUAUUUGUAAUGGGUGACAAGAGGAACAACA